rnacentral:lncRNA from 1 species
UUGUACCCACCGUAAUGUAAUAGUGUUUGGAUGAAAUCCUUGACCUGGCUCUCACCGUCGAAGUGGUGGUGAGGCCCGCCGGGACCUGGAGCUGGCGCCGGAGCCAGAGAAGGACCUGGAGCCAUAGCGUCAUAAAUGGGUAGCACUGGUGGUGCACCAACUGGAACAGGUGCUGCUGGUUUCUUCAACCUGUGGGUUCUGGGAUCCACCUCAGGUGCGCCCUCUGGUAACACAGCAGAUAUAGAUCUGAGAUUCCUCCUCCGGUUAAAGUCUUCUUGCACGGAUUGUGGGAUUAGAAGGCGCUCGAUGCCGUGGAUA